UGCUCACUCAGGAAUAAUACGAUAAUGCUGUGUGUUUGUAAGCUGAGUGCGUACUGCUGGUGCCUCGACUCAUCAACUACUUCGCGUUUUAAUCUUACCAACAUCUGUUUUUUUGUUGUAUUUUGGUUUUUUUUUUAAGGAUGAAGGUUUAAUCAGAGUAAUCUUUAUUGCGUAAAUCGACAAAACUCAAAAAGUGCCUUCUUUAAAUUGUUGCCGAGGAUCGAGGAUUAAACCUUUCUUCGUUGACGGGUCUGGAGGUUCCCCGAGUCUGUUGACAGUAGCAGAAGUUGGAGCUCACACUUUAGUGAGGUCUCGACAGGAGUGUGUCUUUGAAAGCCUAGGAGAUGGCUGAUCUGACAACCGCAGCGCCCCACCUUCCACACAUCCUGGAAGUCUGGGCCAUUGUCCUGGUCAUUCUGGCAACCAUCGUCAUAAUGACGUCUCUCUUGGUUUGCCCAGCGAUGUCUGUCAUAAUCUACAGGGUACGGACUGGCCCAACCAGGAAUGAGAUUGUGUGACACGCCACAGCAUGAGGACUGCUCCACGAAAGAAGGAGGAGGGGGGGUUGGAUGAUAACACAGUAUACCGCAUCAGAGCUGAUCCGCUGAAUCCAGAACGAGGUUGUGUGACAACGCAUCCCUGUGAAUGGACUCUCCCAGUCACCACAUUGUGAACUGGGACUAUGGCUAAUCCAACGGCAUUGAAUCUACCCUAGUCGUUUAUUUGAUUUUGUUAUAUUCCCAGCGUGUACACCUUGCUGUCCUGGACUGAGAUGUGAUAUUACACAAUGCAAGGACCAAUUCAACCUGGAACCAGACUUGAACAGAACAGUACCGAAUACAGAGAAGGGAUGGUGCGGUACUGUGGAUUGAUCCAGCCCCAGGGGACAGUAUUGAACAGUGUAAGAAUGACAGACACACACUGACAAAAACAGACAAAGCUGAAGGAAGCAUAAAUCAUAACUCAUAAAGCUGUGAAUUAAUAUCAAAUGUGUAUUUAAAGACAAAAUCUCAUGUUCAAUAAGCAGCAGCUGCUGCCCCAUGUAUUCUUUACAAUCCAGUCUUUGCCCAGGUCAAGCCCACUAACAUGUGUUAAACUGACAGUGUAAGUGAGGAAGCUUGUUUGUUCUUAUGGAUCGGUAAAAUACUAUAAAGCUCUGUCCCAGGAAGUCAUGUGAUUUUGGCCGUAAUUAUCCCCAUUACAAUGCAUAAUAAUUCCUCUGGCUUCAUAAUAAAGGGCUAAAAAGUUGAUGUAAUAACAUUGUAGCUGCUGUGUAGUUCUUGUAGCUGUAAAAUACCGUCAGUGAAAAGAGGGAGCAACGGUUAUGUUAAGUUUAUUGUCCGGGCACACGCUAUGUGCUAAUAAGAGAUCUCGCUCUCAGUAUGUGUAGUAAAUAAGUCAGGCUUACUGGCAACUACAGCUCUAAACAGGAAGCAUGCGUUGUGUGACGUUAUAAAAACAGACCCUAAAAAAACACAAACUCAAGUUCCUCCUCCCACAAAGGGCCUUGACGGCGUUUCUAAUUUGGGAGUAGAAAACCACAGUCCCAGUGUCUCAGGAUUACAGUUCGCAGAACCCAGGCCACAGGGAAAAGAACACUGUGCCAGUUCCAAAAUCAAUUUUCAAUUCUAAUUCCAUUUCCAAUUCUCUUUUAAUCAGUUCCAACAUAUUCUGUUAAAAUGUGCUUCUCACAGUGGCAACAAAUUACUUCAAUUGAAGUCACUCUUAGUCAGUUAAAUUCAAAUGAAAGCAAUUGCAACAAUUAUUACGUCUCUAAAAUGCCAAUUCCAAUUCCUUUGAAGGAACUGGAAUUGGUUUUAAAAAGGCAUUGGAAAUGGAAUUGAUAAAAAGGAAUUGUAUAUGGAUAAUUUAUGUGUCCAUCCCCUGGGGUUUUAUGUUUCUCAAAUAUGCACUUAACUUGAUGAGGCAAUUUCUCACUGACGUGUAGCAUCGCCUGGAAAAGCCACACCUAGUUUGAAGUUAGAUUUCUAAUAAAACCUGUAAAGCACGGUAUCCCUUCCCAAACCCCAGUGCAAAAGCACACUGUUGGUUUUGUUACUAUGGUGACACAGUGUAUCUACUAAUUAAGGCUUGUUUUGUGUUGCGCAAAAACAUCUGGAAUAUAGAAGCCUGAAUCUUUUUCUGUCUUUAAUUCUAAUUUGGGGUGUUAUUCUUUUGUUUAGAGAUUGUCUUAAAAGUAUAACAGUGGACAUAGUGACAGGAUUGGCAGUAUAAUUGAGAAAGCAUGCACUGUCCUGAAAAAUGAAGCUAAGAAUUCCCUGAGGGGAGGGGAGCUAGCUGCAGCUAAGGCAGCUUCCAAUUGCCUGUGCCUGGAGUCAACUUGGAAGUUAAAAUGUCUCUCAAGAGAUUACUAAAAACCUUGUUGAUACCAGGCUGCCAGGUUAUUUCACUGCAUAUUGCAUAUUGAUUUUUAUAUCAAACCACAAGCAACGUGCCAAGGCAAUGGGAAAUAAUUGAGUGUUCGGCACUAACCGCAACACGACACCGAGAAGCCUGUCUGUGUUUGACGUGCCUGAGCUGCAGGCUCCAUUACUCAUUCCUGAGGCAGCGGGUUGAUUUGGAGUUCAUUCCAGAGCCCGGGAAUCAGUUCCUGUGAGGCAUAGGGGACAAACAGGGCUAGAGGACAGAACAAGACUGUCAGCAAUGAAGCAAGACUGGGGUGCCCCAGCCUGGAGGGAGCAGCCUUGAUGCUAAGACAGUGUUUCAGCAGCACACACCCCAUUUGUGUCAAACCUCUUUUAUUCAGAUUUGCACAUUUUGUGCUUGUUAAUGGUGGAAGGGUGUUAAGAAAGAAAGAAAUACUAGUCAGACAGCAAUGUCUUGGUUGAAGUUGCAAAUGGUUGGUGAAUAAUUAGGCGUUGAGAUGAGAGUCUUAUCACGAUGCACUCUGUGAGCCUGAGAAACUCGCUUUCUGUUCAGUCCUUGGAGAGCUCAAGGGUCUUAUCGGGCCCUUUGCUGUAAUUCUGUUAAUUUGUAACACAAGACUGAUGUCACCAGAUACUCAUAGUAAGGGCUUUCUUAUCACUGUUCUACUUUCCCACUCCAUCCUCUGCUGGGUCAUUUCCUGUUGACCUCACCCGUGGUUAGAACUUGCUGUUCCCAAAUAAGAGUCUCAGUGACUGGCCAAAAAAAAAGAAAGUGAUAAAUAUAGUAUGAAGUCCUUUAAUUUAAUAUACAGGGCUGGAAUAAGAACAUAAGAAAGUUUACAAACCAGAGGAGGCCAUUUGGCCCAUCUUGCUUGUUUGGUUGUAAGUAGCUUAGUGAUCCCAGAAUCUCAUCAAGCAGCCUCAUUUUUUUUUUUUUUUUUUUAAAUAAAUUUAGUCGUUGCCAAUUAUUCUUAUUAUUUUCUCCCAAUUUAGAAUGGCCAAUUAUUUUUUAAGCUCAACUCACUGCUACCACCCCUGCGCUGACUCGGGAGGGCAAAGACAAACACACACUGUCCUCCGAAGCGUGUGUCGUCAGCCAACCGCUUUUUUUCACACUGCGGACUCACCAUGCAGCCACCCAAGAGCUACAGCGUAGGAGGACAACACAGCUCUCGGGCAGUUUACAGGCAAGCCUGCAGGCGCCCGGCCAGACUACAGGGGUCGCUGGUGCACGGUGAGCCGAGGACACCCUGGCCGCCCUAACCCUCCCUCCCCCCGGCGGCGCUCUGCCAAUUGUGCGCCGCCCCCUGGGAGUUCCCGUCCACGGUCGGCUGUGGAAUAGCCUGGACUCGAACUCGUGACGUCCAGACUAUAGAGCGCAUCCUGCACUCCACGUGGAGCGCCUUUACUGGAUGCGCCACUCGAGAGCCCCCAUCAAGCAGCUUCUUGAAGGAUCCCAGGGUGUCAGCUUCAACAACAUUACUGGGGAGUUGGUUCCACACUCCCACAAUUCUCUGUAAAAAAGUGCCUCCUAUUUUCUGUUCUGAAAGCCCCUUUAUCUAAUCUCCAUGUGUGACCCCUGGUCCUUGUUUCUUUUUUUGAAAAAGUCCCUUAGGUCGACAUUGUCAAUACCUUACACAUUAAAUUUAUGAAGUAUUGUACAAGUGUUAGACAGUGCAGCUGUUUCCUUGUCCACUAGGUGGUGAUCCAAGCAUGGUUUAUAAAAUCCUUCUGCCCUGACCGAGUGUUGGCCAUGCUCUGACUUUUGGUUAAAACGCCAUUUACUAAAUUUAGCUCUCAGAUUAUGCUAAUGAAAAUGUAUGACAACGUGCUUGCUGUGGUGUAUUUAUUAUGUAGCUAACUCACUGCAAUUUAAACUUGUUUUUACUGAAAAAUAAACAGUAUGUAAAUCAUAA